rnacentral:rRNA from 1 species
UACGAAGGGGGCUAGCGUUGCUCGGAAUCACUGGGCGUAAAGGGUGCGUAGGCGGCGCACCAAGUCAGGCGUGAAAGCCCUGGGCUCAACCCGGGAAUUGCGCUUGAGACUGGUGUGCUCGAGUACGGGAGAGGAUAGUGGAAUUCCCAGUGUAGAGGUGAAAUUCGUAGAUAUUGGGAAGAACACCGGUGGCGAAGGCGGCUAUCUGGACCGUAACUGACGCUGAGGCGCGAAAGCGUGGGGAGCAAACAGG